CAGUCGCCACGGGAAUACGUAGGGUGCAAGCGUUAAUCGGAAUUACUGGGCGUAAAGCGUGCGCAGGCGGUUAUAUAAGACAGAUGUGAAAUCCCCGGGCUCAACCUGGGAACUGCAUUUGUGACUGUAUAGCUAGAGUACGGCAGAGGGGGAUGGAAUUCCGCGUGUAGCAGUGAAAUGCGUAGAUAUGCGGAGGAACACCGAUGGCGAAGGCAAUCCCCUGGGCCUGUACUGACGCUCAUGCACGAAAGCGUGGGGAGCAAACAGGAUUAGAGACCCGAGUAGUCCCUGUCUCUUAUAA
rnacentral:rRNA from 1 species